AUGCUUGUUUAUGUAAUGGCUGCCUCAGGAAUAUUUGCAGGUUUUAUCAACGGCUGGUAUUAUGAGGACCCUCAUAACACACUGAUAUAUUGGAUAAAGAAGCACAUUUUCAUUGGAUUGUGGCAUUCAACAAGAGUGGGAACUCUCCUUUAUGUCAUCUUUGCUGAGAUAUUGUUUUGGGCUAUUGUUGCUGGCCUACUUCAUCGAUUAGGCAUAUAUUGGAAGCUUUAGUUGUGACGAAAUUUGCAUCUUUUGUUUGCUUAUUACUAUACACUGUACUUGAAACUAGAAAGAGCUUCAUCUAGUCAUGGACCAAAUGAACAAUACCGAUAUCAUUGGUUUUUCUUGCUUGUAGUUGUAAGAAAGUUAUUUUCUUCAUAG
rnacentral:misc_RNA from 1 species